UACUGGUGGACCCGAGCCUGCAUACCCAGCAUGGAGCAUGAUACACCUUAUGGGACCCUGUAUCGGGGUCAACACUCUGAGACCUCAGGAGGUGCCGGCUGAAGACCGAGAACAGGGAAGGAAACCACACCGGGAAUGCGUUGAACCCCCUGAGCCAAGGGCCCAGAGAAAGUAACUGGCUUGCAGCUGUGCUCCCAGGAAGCAUUCCCUUCCCACGGAUCCUCAGGACACCCUUGAGCGAGGGGGUAUGUAGAGCAUUAGACCGCAGGACACCCUGGAUGGGUGUGGGUACAAGCCCCAGCUCUGUCCAGAUCUCUGCUCGCACUGAGCUGACCCCUGGAGCACCAGGCUGGGAAAUCGUCCUUUUCCAUCAUCUGGUUCGCAGGGGCUCUCCCCGCAGCCCUGGUGGGAGCAGAGGGACAGGCGAGCACGGCAGUGGUGGGUGACACGGCGGUGCAAACUGCCCGUUUGAUCUGGAACGUUCCACCUCCACCCUCUCACGCAUCCCUGCUGACUUGGCGGGGCCGAGACAGCCCUGCUCUGCUCGUGGUAGGCAGGUCUGCCACCUGGUGGCCCGUGUCCGUCUUUAGAGAUCUGGGCAGGUCACUGUCCACACACCCCAGCCCUGAGGACGACUGGGUCUACAUCUGGCACAGCAGCUGACGCGGGGCUCCCGCCGGGCCGGUCUGCAGCACUCCACUGUCUCUGCCAAGGUCCUGGGUCUGGGGGUCAGACUGGUGAAUGAAAUGGGGCUCUGGUGGGGGCCAGCACCGCUGCACCCGUUAGGUUCGAGGGUGGCACUGAUUUCUGCUGCCCUUCGGGAUGAGACACUGUUCUUUAUUUGUCUCCCGGUGGUGGGGGGGGGGGGGUGCAAUUGCAGACGUCUCCACCUGGCUGGCCCCACCACCACGGCUCUGACCCUGAGGGCCACUGAUCCAAUGUGAGGAUGAGCCAACCACCCUUUCUUUCUUUUCUGGUAACUCGUCUGAAGAGUGGAAACUGCCUCCCCCCUGGGGAGUUCCAGGGGCCCCCCUGAGAGUUUGAUUUGGGCCUGGAGCCCCUGAUUCUUUGGACCCGAUGUGCCCAACCUGAAAAAGAAGCCAGGAUGAGGCCUCGUUCUGGAUCUUAGGGGAAAAGCUUUCAGUCUUUCACCAUGGGGUGUAACGUCAGCUGUGAGUUGUCCAUAGACGUCCUUUAUCAGAUCACCCAUGUUCACAGGUGGCAAGAUUUCUUUUUUCUUAUGGCUGUGGAAUGUUCCAUCAUCUAAACACACCACAUCUUCCUUAUCCAUUCACCUACAGAUGGACACUUGGGCUGCUUCCGUAACUUGGCUACUGUAAAUAAUGCUGCAAUGAACGUAGGGGUGCAUGUA